rnacentral:lncRNA from 1 species
UUCCCGUUUGAAAUUAACACCAGGUAAGAUUACUGAAGAAAAUAUCAGUGAAGUCUAAUAUAGUAUGGGAGGCAGAAUGCUUUGUUAGCCUCCAAGUUUCCUAACUUCCAGUAUACAUCCCUCGUAAAUCGCCUUCCCUUGAGUGGGGUGAGAUCUGUGACUAUAAUGAGACAUGAUAAGUUUGUUAUAUGAUGAAAACAGUGAGAUAGUUGCUUCCAUGAUUACAUUAUAUUACAAGAUUCCAUCAUAGCAGACUGGAGAGAUGUUCUCUUGUUGACUGAAGAAGUAAGUUGCCAAGGAACAUAUGGCUAGGACUUGAGGGUGGCCUCUAGGAGAUCAGAGCAAAACUGCCAAUAGCCAUUAAGAAAGCAAGGACGAGAUGUCAGUACUAUAAGGAAUGAAAUUGUGGUAACAAUUAGUAUACUUGGAAGGGGACCCUAAACCUCAGAAACGUUUGCAGCCACAAUUGUUAUUCUGAUUUCAGGCUGGUAAGACUCUAAACAGAGAACUUUUCUAACCUAUAACUGUGACACAAUAAAUUUAUGUUUUUUAACCUUUGAGGUAAGUGUUUAUACAGCAACAAAAACCCCUAAUAUACAUGAUAGAAUUUACCCACAACGAAGCAAAGAAAUUAUAGGCUAAAAAUAAAAAUGAACAGAAUCUCAGUAUUACCCUGUAUCACCUAUGGGAUAAUUUCAUACUCUCUAACAUCCAUGUAAUUCGAAUCCCAGAAACAAGUGAAGAAGGGAAAGGGCAUACAUUUUUUUGAAAAAAUUAAAAGACUGAAAAUUUGUUCAACCUGAUGAAAAUUACUCUGACAGAUGUAAGCACUUGAGCAAACCCUAAGCGGGAUAAAAAUAUGUGUGUGUAGCACACACCCCCCAAAAGUAAAUCAUAAUCAAAUUACCAAAAAUCAAUAAUAAAAGGAACAAUCUUAAAAAGCAAUGAGAGGGGGGAAAACAUAUAAAAACGGAACAAAGAUAAGAAAAUUCAAGACUUUUCCUAAUAGGCAAAACAGAAAACAUGAAACAGAAGACAGCGAGAGAAGUGCAUUAUGUUGGGAACCGUGUCAUCAGCAAG